rnacentral:rRNA from 1 species
AGUCAAUAGAUACCCUGGUAGUCCACGCCCUAAACGAUGUCAACUGGUUGUUGGGGAUUUACUUCCUCAGUAAACGAAAGCUAAACGCGUGAAGUUGACCGCCUGGGGAGUACGGCCGCAAGGUUAAAACUCAAAGGAAUUGACGGGGACCCGCACAAGCGGUGGAUGAUGUGGUUUAAUUCGAUGCAACGCGAAAAACCUUACCCACCUUUGACAUGUACGGAAGAUCGCAGAGACGCGAUUGUGCUCGAAAGAGAGCCGUAACACAGGUGCUGCAUGGCUGUCGUCAGCUCGUGUCGUGAGAUGUUGGGUUAAGUCCCGCAACGAGCGCAACCCUUGCCAUUAGUUGCUACGAAAGGGCACUCUAAUGGGACUGCCGGUGACAAACCGGAGGAAGGUGGGGAUGACGUCAAGUCCUCAUGGCCCUUAUAGGUGGGGCUACACACGUCAUACAAUGGCUGGUACAAAGGGUAGCCAACCCGCGAGGGGAGCCAAUCCCAUAAAGCCAGUCGUAGUCCGGAUCGCAGUCUGCAACUCGGCUG